GACGAACGCUGGCGGCGUGCCUAAUACAUGCAAGUAGAACGCUGAAGGAGGAGCUUGCUUCUCUGGAUGAGUUGCGAACGGGUGAGUAACGCGUAGGUAACCUGCCUGGUAGCGGGGGAUAACUAUUGGAAACGAUAGCUAAUACCGCAUAAGAGUAGAUGUCGCAUGACAUUUGCUUAAAAGGUGCAGUUGCAUCACUACCAGAUGGACCUGCGUUGUAUUAGCUAGUUGGUGAGGUAACGGCUCACCAAGGCAACGAUACAUAGCCGACCUGAGAGGGGGAUUGGCCCACCUGGGACUGAGACACGGCCCAAGCUCCUAAGGGAGGCAGCAGUAGGGAAUCUUCGGCCAUGGACGGAAGUCUGACCGAGGCACGCCGCGGGAGGGAAGAAGGUUCUCGGAUCGUAAAGAUCCGUUGUAAGGGAAGAACGAGUGUGAGAGUGGAAAGUGCACACUGUGACGGUAUCUUACCAGAAAGGGACGGCUAACUACGUG
rnacentral:rRNA from 1 species